GAACUAGGGCUCGGUCUCCUUCAUUUUUCCCUCCCGCCCGAUAUCUGCCUCUAUCAUUUCCCCUCUCACUCAGGAUGUCGGCAUCUUUCCUCCGUGCCUUUCCCUCUCUCUGUUUCUCUCUCUGCUACAUCUUUCCUUUGUGCUCGGCGCCAUGGAGCCUCUAAAGUCUUGGUGUGAGUACACAACGCCGACGGGCUGGAGUGGUUCUGCCCCGCGACCUCUACGCCUUCUGGGUCCUGCUCCGCCACCACAACCACCAUGCGCUUCGUCCUCGUUGGGUCUCAUCUCUUCUGGAUAGCAAUCAUUCCUAUUGCUGUAAGUUCUCUUUCUUCCUUGACUAGUUUGGCAUUUUAAUUGGGGUGCUGGAGAUGACUUUUCAACACUUAACUGAUCAUCUCAUAUUGUCUUGGAAAUUUACUUCUACUCCCUCUCUCUCUCUCUCUCUCUCUCUCUCCUGUUUCUGCUUUUUGGCAUCCUGAAUGCCUCCGGUGCCAUGCUUGCAACCUACCGAUAUCUGAUUAUGAGGUAAAAAAAACACCCAAGAAAACUUUCAUAGCACUCUACGUCUGGGAAUAAACCAUACUUCUGUUUUUGUGGAUUUUUUUUUCUUUUUUUUUUUAUUUUUAUUUUGUGAAAAUAAGAUAUCAUAAGGAUAAUGAUACUAGUGAAACGUUUCACUAGUAAUUUUUAUUUUUUUGGUAACAAAUUAUUUGCGGCAAAUUAAAGUUGCUGCAAAAGUUCAAUUUGUCGUCGAAAAGACUUAUUUGUGAUGAAACACAUUCGUUAGAAAAUGUUAUUUGCGGCAAUUUUAUACUACUUUUCGCCGCAGAAUUUUUUUCUCAACAAUUUCCUUUGAUAAUGGAAUACACAUUUUCGAAAA